AUGUGGGAAGGCCCAGACAGCCAGGAUGUUGGCUUAGAAGCAGCCAUCAUUUAAAGAAAGCGUAAUAGCUCACUGGUCGAGUCGGCCUGCGCGGAAGAUGUAACGGGGCUAAACCAUGCACCGAAGCUGCGGCAGCGAACGUAUCACUUAAAGCGAUUCAGCGGGUUACGAUUGACGGAGCGAAGCGACGUCAAAGCGUAUACAAAGUCGAGUCGGUUUAAGGAUACGUUCGUUGGGUAGGGGAGCGUUCUGUAAGCCUGUGAAGGUGGCCUGUGAGGGUUGCUGGAGGUAUCAGAAGUGCGAAUGCUGACAUAAGUAACGAUAAAGCGGGUGAAAAGCCCGCUCGCCGGAAGACCAAGGGUUCCUGUCCAACGUUAAUCGGGGCAGGGUGAGUCGACCCCUAAGGCGAGAG
rnacentral:rRNA from 1 species